AUCCUGCUGAAGAAUUUCAAAUAGGACGAAACGCGCUUUGUCCUGGAU
rnacentral:hammerhead_ribozyme from 1 species